rnacentral:rRNA from 1 species
UACGUAGGGCGCAAGCGUUUAUCCGGAAUUAUUGGGCGUAAAGAGCUCGUAGGCGGCUUGUCGCGUCGUCCGUGAAAACCUGCAGCUCAACUGCAGGCUUGCGGUCGAUACGGGCAGGCUAGAGUUCGGUAGGGGAGACUGGAAUUCCUGGUGUAGCGGUGAAAUGCGCAGAUAUCAGGAGGAACACCGGUGGCGAAGGCGGGUCUCUGGGCCGAUACUGACGCUGAGGAGCGAAAGCGUGGGGAGCGAACAGG